CCAAAGAGGGGGACCUUCGGGCCUCUUGCCAUCGGAUGUGCCCAGAUGGGAUUAGCUUGUUGGUGGGGUAACGGCUCACCAAGGCGACGAUCCCUAGCUGGUCUGAGAGGAUGACCAGCCACACUGGAACUGAGACACGGUCCAGACUCCUACGGGAGGCAGCAGUGGGGAAUAUUGCACAAUGGGCGCAAGCCUGAUGCAGCCAUGCCGCGUGUAUGAAGAAGGCCUUCGGGUUGUAAAGUACUUUCAGCGGGGAGGAAGGGAGUAAAGUUAAUACCUUUGCUCAUUGACGUUACCCGCAGAAGAAGCACCGGCUAACUCCGUGCCAGCAGCCGCGGUAAUACGGAGGGUGCAAGCGUUAAUCGGAAUUACUGGGCGUAAAGCGCACGCAGGCGGUUUGUUAAGUCAGAUGUGAAAUCCCCGGGCUCAACCUGGGAACUGCAUCUGAUACUGGCAAGCUUGAGUCUCGUAGAGGGGGGUAGAAUUCCAGGUGUAGCGG
rnacentral:rRNA from 1 species